UAUAAUGUAUUUUUUUGUGAGCAAUGUGGCCCUACAUGAACACAAAACGUUCUGCUUUGGUUGUUUCACAUUAGAUAUUUCUAUAUUUAUGUGUGAUU